AACUACCUACCAGCAGCUUCUGAAGUUGGUCAUCCAGGUUUCCAGAUUCCUGACUGAACUGAUCACGCUCGGUGCGGGCCUCAUUCAAUUCUGAGUUGGCCAGGACUAACUGUUUCUCAAGAUCUUCUAUCUAAAGGGAUAAUAUCCCACCAGCCACUAUCCACCUUGGCCCUUCUCUGAGGGUGUGCUAUGUACCACUCAUCCCAGUCACAAAAAUGUCUAGUUAUGGCUCUGCAGAGAAUACUACCACUACCAUAUAUACACAUAUGUUUGAUUGGGGCUUGGAUUUAAAGUCCCAAAAGGCUUCUUCACGUCUAACAGUCUUUGGGAGUCAGUCUAGGAGUGAUGUCCAUAUGUACUACAUCACAAUAAUACCUAUACCAUUCACUUGCCCUACCUCCUCACCAAAAUAAAAGAUAACCUGUUAACUGUCAAA